AGUGGGGAGGCAACCUGUCUGGCCUCCUGGUGACCAGGCUUUCCCUUCUCUCCACAGC
rnacentral:precursor_RNA from 1 species